rnacentral:lncRNA from 1 species
GAGUCUGCACGUGAGGUUAGCAGUUAGUCCCUAUUCUUACCCACUGUUGUGGCAAAUCUGGAGUUGAAAUGAUCUUUCAGAGACAGGAGAGUUGGGUAAAACAAAGAGAAGUUUAUUGCCAGGCAAUGGCCAACCUCAGGAAAAUGAAUGAGGCUGUGGGAGAACAUUUAGAUACAAACCGUAACAAUCAUGGUACCAAAGCUAGCUAAGCUAAGCUAAGCAAAAUGAUACAAA